UACGGAGGGGGCUAGCGUUGUUCGGAAUUACUGGGCGUAAAGCGCGCGUAGGCGGACCUGCAAGUCGGGGGUGAAAGCCCGAGGCUCAACCUCGGAACUGCCUUCGAUACUGCGGGUCUCGAGUCCGGGAGAGGUGAGUGGAAUUCCUGGUGUAGCGGUGAAAUGCGCAGAUAUCAGGAAGAACACCAAUGGCGAAGGCAGCUCUCUGGGACGGUACUGACGCUGAGACGCGAAAGCGUGGGGAGCGAACAGG
rnacentral:rRNA from 1 species